rnacentral:tRNA from 1 species
UCCUCGUUAGUAUAGUGGUGAGUAUCCCCGCCUGUCACGCGGGUGUCCGGGGUUCGAUUCCCCGACGAGGAG